CGUGAGAAUAGCGCAAUGGUAAGCGCGCGCGGUUUAGUACUGCGAGUUCGUUGUUCGAAUCAGGGUUCCAUGA